AGGGUAAUGAUUAAUAGGGAUAGUUGGGGGCAUUAAUAUUUAAUUGUCAGAGGUGAAAUUCUUGGAUUUAUGAAAGAUUAACUUCUGCGAAAGCAUCUGCCAAGGAUGUUUUCAUUAAUCAAGAACGAAAGUUAGGGGAUCGAAGACGAUCAGAUACCGUCGUAGUCUUAACCAUAAACGAUGCCGACCAGCGAUUAGGAGACGUUGAAUACAAAACACCACCAUCUUCAGCAUGGUUGUUUUCAAAAGGAUCUUCGUGGUUCUUUUGGGAACAAUUCAUCCUGGAUGGGUUCGGUGA
rnacentral:rRNA from 1 species